rnacentral:rRNA from 1 species
GCAGUCAAGAAUAUUAGUCAAUGCUCGAAAGAGUGAACUAGCUAACUGAAAUCAAUUAAAAUAAUUGAUAACAUAAGGGAAAAUAAUGAUAUUACCUUAUUAUUAGUGUCGUCAAAAUCUGGUGCCAGAAGACUCGGUAAGGCCUGAGACACAAACGUUAAUCAUCUUAAUCAGGCGUAAAGGGUUUGUAGGCGGCUUUUAAAUUAACUUAUUAAUAAAAAAAAAAUAAGUUAAGAAUAAAAGCUAGAAUCAAAUAGAGGAUAUAUCAAAUAAUGCUUAGAGUAGGUCUGAUAUCCUUAGAUACUAAGUAGAAUAUUAAAGGCGAAAGCUUUUUUCCAUUAAUGAUUGACGCUCAGAAACGAAGGUGAGGAUAGGAAAUAGGAUUAGAUACCCAAAAUACUCCUCUCUGUCAACGAUGAAUGGUAGUUAUUAGUAAUAAUUUAUUCAUGGCAAUGUUAACACGAUAACCAUUCCGCCUUGUGAGUACAACUGCAAAGUUGAAAACAAAAAAAU